AGUCGAACGAGCGAGAGAGAGCUUGCUUUCUCGAGCGAGUGGCGAACGGGUGAGUAACGCGUGAGGAACCUGCCUCAAAGAGGGGGACAACAGUUGGAAACGACUGCUAAUACCGCAUAAGCCCACGACCCGGCAUCGGGUUGAGGGAAAAGGAGCAAUCCGCUUUGAGAUGGCCUCGCGUCCGAUUAGCUAGUUGGUGAGGUAACGGCCCACCAAGGCAACGAUCGGUAGCCGGACUGAGAGGUUGAACGGCCACAUUGGGACUGAGACACGGCCCAGACUCCUACGGGAGGCAGCAGUGGGGAAUAUUGCACAAUGGGGGAAACCCUGAUGCAGCGACGCCGCGUGGAGGAAGAAGGUCUUCGGAUUGUAAACUCCUGUUGUUGAGGAAGAUAAUGACGGUACUCAACAAGGAAGUGACGGCUAACUACGUGCCAGCAGCCGCGGUAAAACGUAGGUCACAAGCGUUGUCCGG
rnacentral:rRNA from 1 species